UACGGGGGGAGCAAGCGUUGUUCGGAUUUACUGGGCGUAAAGGGCGCGUAGGCGGCACCGCAAGUCAGUUGUGAAAUCUCUGGGCUUAACCCAGAAAGGUCAACUGAUACUGCGGGGCUAGAGCGCAGAAGGGGCAACUGGAAUUCUCGGUGUAGCGGUGAAAUGCGUAGAUAUCGAGAGGAACACCUGCGGCGAAGGCGGGUUGCUGGGCCGACACUGACGCUGAUGCGCGAAAGCCAGGGGAGCGAACGGG
rnacentral:rRNA from 1 species